GGCGGGAUAGCUCAGUUGGUAGAGCACACGACUGAAAAUCGUGGUGUCCCGGGUUCGAAUCCCGGUCCCGCCACCG
rnacentral:tRNA from 1 species